UUUUCGGCUUAUGGUGGACCUCGACGCGGCCUUUUGUCGUGAUCGUCUCAUCUUCCCCGUUAGCGGGUGCUCAUUUGCUUUUAAUCGGAGGUUCUCUGUGUGUUAGGAGCACUUCUUUUCGAUCACGGUGAAGAGCAUGGAUGGCAGCUUCCUGUUCACACCCCUUCAGGUUAUGUUCAGUCGUUGCGCAAAGACAAAACUAUCCAGAAACAAAUCAUCCAAGCAACCAUUUUGGGGGGUUUUCUAGCUCCGUAGAGUGGUGCGGUGCGGAGUGUCAGCCAACACAGUAUGCAGGAGCUAGCGGGGUGGCACAUGGUUGGAUGAGCCUUUAGGUCCUGAAGGAACCAUAAAAGGUUUCAGGGAGGCUAACCCUUUGUGGACGGACACACAAUGGUGCCACACGAUUUAGGCACAACCAGCUAAGUUUGUGACGGAUGGUAUUAGAGUGGGAGAAAGAAGCACACUUAAAAACACUUGGUAUGCAAACGUAAGAGACCUAACAAAGCUACAUUGGGGGUAGCUAGCAUGAAGAACGCAUAGCACACAAAGAUUAGGAUAGUUGAGUUUAAGCUACGAAUCGACGUUAGUAACUAAACUUGAUGGUGCUUAAGGCAAGCAGGACAUUUGGCAAAGGAUGAGAUAGUGCAAGGAGGGAUGGGUUACUUGGCAACCGAAAGAGUUGUACAAAGCUCAUAGAGGUAAAGAGGAAUUGUUAACUCAAAGAAUUCGGUACUCAUGCGAGAGCUUGUAUGCGAACAACGGACUGUCCGUGACCAUCACAAGGCGAUCAAAAUUUGGUGCCAUGAAGCAUGAAAACUCUCUUCAGCAUGGGAAGGAUACAUUCAUAUGAGGCUGAAGUAUAUGGUAGGUUUAACUUGUUGCUAGGCUUUGAGGGGCACAAUAGGGGCUGUAUUGACGAAGAGUCGUAAUCUAGCAAGUACGUUUAUGGUGGAGAAAUAGCACACAGUUUGUUCAGUAAGGCAGAGUAGUCUAAGGGGAUGGUGGUCUUCAAAACUUUAGAGAGAAUGAUGCAAAGAGAAAAGUUACUCCAACGGGAUAGAUAUCUAGGUGGGAUAAGUCUUGUUCUUCCGAAAGAGAAUCAUGUGCAGCGAACCGCACAUGUUGUGGGGGUACCUUAAGACGACAACUCUAUAAAGCUUAAUGGAUUGAGCAAGCAGUGAUGAGUCAUUGCAUGAUCUCGCAUAAGGUAAUGCAUUGGUGGACGUAUUACGAGAUUAAGUAGGGGAGCAGCCUUAGAGAACACCAAACGAAGGCACAUUUAAAGCCGAUAUAAAGAUUAGACUCAAUGGAGGGUUGACCUGUCAUAUAGUGGGCGCGAGGGCCACCAUUAACUCAAUGCAUACUAAGGAGCAAAGCCACAUGAAGGGAGUCGACAUAGAAGAUAAAACAUAGAGUGGAGGCGCAGAGCUUUUCUUGGAUAGAAGCCAAGGACAUGAACUCUUGUAGAGGCAAGAGCGAGAUUAUGUCAUUCCAUGGGUCCCUCAUUCUGAUGGAGCAGACUCAUCUUGUAUGGUGCCAAUGUCAGAGGGAGCUUCGAGGCACACACACUUUAUCUUGAUGAAACAAUUGAUGGAGGAACUAAGACAACUCAACUUGCGGAGGCGAAGUUGAGGUUAGAAGGGCUUGUCAUGAUGUAAGAGGAUGCAGAGAUAGGUACUCAUGAAGAAUAUGUCACAGUGUUGCCAUUUGAGUUGCCGUAAAGGAAAUUAUGCAUAGUGAAGAUUGUGCUAGGGGCAGAGGUCGAGGAUCCAGAUAAUGACAUACCAAUUUCAGCAAAGUCGAUGGACUUCGAGAGCUACUAGGCAACAAACUAUCCUAGAGUUGUGCUUCGUCCAUGUAUAACUCGAGAGCGGGUAGAUAAAGGUCGAUUGCCAAAGGAGCGAAUACAAUCGGAGGUGGCGAAAGCCCUGCGAUUGCUGGCAAAGGCCAUAUCUAGAGAGAUCGUAGUCCGAAUUUAUCCCACAAAGAUCAAAAUGCAAUAGAGAUAUUACCAGGAGGCGACAUAGUCCAACGGAUUGUGGUAAAACAAUUCAAGACAGUGUGACACGCACAUGGGAGAAGUCCCGUGAGGGACUUGAUCAUACAGAGGUAUAUCAGAGCGGCUAGAGAGUUAGACUGUUCUAGAGCUUAUAUUCACUUGAGGGAGACCAACAAGUUAGAAGACAAGCUCGAGUGAGUGAACGUCGCUACCAAGGACACAAAGAAGAUUAUAAUCAGUGCAAGCCCUGCAACAUGAUGAUAGAGGCUAUGUAUGAGAGUUAUAGUCUUUCUUUCUAUCAACCAAGGGAAACUACUUGGAGAACACAAAGGUGUUAAAGUAGGAGGUCGAAAGGGGCAAGAAAGCAAUGAUGAGUCUAGAGGGACUUAGCUACCUAAAACCAAGAAUUGAUUUGGAUGGAGGUAGACUCAGAGGAGUGUCAUAGUGCCGUAGAGGUGAACCUAAUGAUCGUAAAGAAAGGACGCAGAUAUGAGGCGAUAGAUAAUAGGGCCAUGGGUAUGGUAGUACCCUGGUACCAUAGAGGCAAAACUUCCAUAGCAUCAGCGAUCCCUUGCUCUCAUGGAGGGAGAGUGCAUGGUCGUAAAAGGAGACCGAAGAGGUGGAGAAUGCAAAGGUAAAUUAUAAGUAUCUAGAUAAUGUUAAAGGGUAGAGGCUAGGGAAUUUCGUAAGACUGAUGUCUAUAGGUUUGUCAUCAAGAUAGCCAAAAGUGGAGGACUUUUGGUCGAUGUAGAAGUGCUCAACCAAAGAACGGAGUAGGUAGUAUGAAGUGCUAUACCUUUUCUACUCAGAGGAGUAGGCGACAAAAAUGAUAGAGAAGAUAGUAUAAUCAUAGAGGCGGCUAAAAUUAUUAGAUAUUUGUUCCAAGUCAACAAAAUUUUGUUCUUUUCGGGCAAAACUUUUUGCAUUUCAUAAGUUCGAUAACAAUGAUGAGGCGAAUCGCAAUAGCUAACUCAAUGCAAGGAGUGUAAACACUUCGGGUGCUUCAGAAGUGUGAGCAAAGAGUAGACAAAUGCUAGUAAUCAACUUGAUGCAUGAAGUACAACUCUCGAGGAGGUGAGCGAAGUCAAAGAACCUUUGCCUUCUUAACUCUUAAGAGAAUGGGUAAAAUUGAAUACCUCAGUUCUCUUAUUUAUCCAAUAGAGGAGUUCUACACAUAUUCAAAGAUCCUUCCAAGAAACUUAGUGGGAAAUAAUAAUUGUUAAAUCUUCACCAAUUGUGAUCAAUUCUACUGAGAGUAGAUUGGCUAUCUCAUUUUCCAACAUAGUGUCAAUUAAAAGUGGAAGUAAUGUAAACCUAUUUGGAGGUGACAACUAAGUAAAAGUGGAAUCGAUGGGUAAAUUUUACGAAGGAAAGACCUUAAAAACUUCAAAAUCUACAAGGUGAUGUUUGUUAAGGCUCAAAUAGGUAUCCACCCAAUUUAAGCAAAACGACGUUUGAGAGACUAGUGCAAAAUAAAGAAGAUAUUUUUCUUCAUUCGAAGGAUUCACAGGAACCAAGAUUGAUUAAGAUAAUUCGAUCGACCCUACACUAUAGUCAAAGUAAUUGGCAAGUUGAAACAACAUUGACGGAUCAAAGUUCGAUUACUAACAAUAGCGAUGGAGAGUAGUUGUGAGUCAAGAGGUACAUUGCAACUAGAGUAAAAGAUUGAAGAUUCAACAAAGGUGAGGAGAUGCAACGUUCGUAAAGGCUUCGACGAAGACGUCGAAAGAAUAAGUGGGGGAGAAUGUCAUGGACAGAUACGUAAAUAGGGUGUUCGAUGUAAUGUUUGUGUAUGUUUGUGUCUUUCAGUUUUGUUCAUAUUUUGCACAACAUAUAGAAGGCUUGCAGUAGGCUUGGUAGCCCUAUUUUGGUUAGCUUUUAUGGUCAUUUCAAUCUUGUAAACAUAGGUUGUGUGUAGUCGUUGUGCAGAGGUAAAACUGUCUAAAAAUAGGCUAUCCAGGCAACCAUUUCUAGGGUUCUCUAGCUCCGUAGGGUAGUGUAGAGUAUCAGCCACUCAAGAGCUACUCGGGUGGCAUAUGGCUAGAUGGGCGUUUAGGGUAGUGUCUAGGGUUGGUUCGUUUGUCUUGUUCCAUAGUAGUGUCAUGUGAGCACUUAUGGAGACUUUUAACUAUGAUGGAUCACCUUAAACCCUUUGUUACGUAAUUAUUCAGAGCUUGCAAAGUCUAUGUUUGUAAUUUACAUUGACUAUCAAGUGUUUAUUAAAAUGACUACUUGUUGGAUUCCGAGUUAAACGCUUCCUCUAAUUGUCUUCUUUUUUGCAGGUCCUUAGGCGACUGUAAGAGGUUUUAGGGAGGCUAACUAUUUGCAGACGAACACGCAAUGGUGCCACAUGACUUAGGCAAAAUCAACUAAAUCUAUGAUAGUCUGUAGCUUUGUCUACCGCUAUCGUCCUCUCCUACCUCACGUUCAACCAUUUGUGACUCCUUUUCUCCCCCUCUACUAUUAUGGUUACUAUUAAUAAUGGAUUAAAUACUAUUAACAAUUGAAUGUUAAUCCUAAACUAAUAUUAAAACUACUAUUAUCAUAUAAUAAACUAAAAUUGAUAUUAACCCUUAGAACUAUUGGCCUAUUUCGAACUAAUUCUUAAUUAGAAUUGUUAUUAGUCUCUAUUUAGCAAUGUUAAUCUCUAUUUAUUUAGAAUUUUAUCAGGGUUUCAGGAUUAAUG